AUUGAACGCUGGCGGCAGGCCUAACACAUGCAAGUCGAACGGUAACAGGAAGAAGCUUGCUUCUUUGCUGACGAGUGGCGGACGGGUGAGUAAUGUCUGGGAAACUGCCUGAUGGAGGGGGAUAACUACUGGAAACGGUAGCUAAUACCGCAUAACGUCGCAAGACCAAAGAGGGGGACCUUCGGGCCUCUUGCCAUCGGAUGUGCCCAGAUGGGAUUAGCUAGUAGGUGAGGUAACGGCUCACCUAGGCGACGAUCCCUAGCUGGUCUGAGAGGAUGACCAGCCACACUGGAACUGAGACACGGUCCAGACUCCUACGGGAGGCAGCAGUGGGGAAUAUUGCACAAUGGGCGCAAGCCUGAUGCAGCCAUGCCGCGUGCAUGAAGAAGGCCUUCGGGUUGUAAAGUACUUUCAGCGGGGAGGAAGGGAGUAAAGUUAAUACCUUUGCUCAUUGACGUUACCCGCAGAAGAAGCACCGGCUAACUCCGUG
rnacentral:rRNA from 1 species